CGGGAUGUACCUUUUUCCUUGGUUCUGGUUUGCCUUUCUUAACUGUGGCCAUCACCAUGUCGCCCACACCAGCAGCAGGAAGUCUGUUCAGCCGUCCCUUGAUUCCCUUCACAGAGAUGACAAACAAGUUUAUAGCUCCUGUGUUGUCAGCACAGUUGAUCACAGCUCCUACCGGAAGACCCACGGAAAUCCCAGAACUUCGCUCCGGAGGACCCACCACAUCCUCGCUUCGACAUCUUGAGAGUCC
rnacentral:lncRNA from 1 species